rnacentral:snRNA from 1 species
GUGCUCACUUCAGCAGCACAUGUACUAAGAUUAGAAUGAUACAGAGAGGAGCGCGGCCCCUGUAUAAGGACAACACAUGAUAUUAACCUCAAUGACUUGUUUCA